rnacentral:rRNA from 1 species
UACGUAGGAGGCGAGCGUUGUCCGGAGUUACUGGGCGUAAAGGGUGCGCAGGCGGCGUUCCGCGUGGCGAGAUGAAAUCUCCUGGCUUACCUGGGAGGGUGGUCGCCAGACGGGAGCGCUUGAGUGCGAGAGAGGAGCGUGGAAUUCCGGGUGUAGUGGUGAAAUGCGUAGAGAUCCGGAGGAACCCCAGAGGCGAAGGCGGCGCUCUGGCUCGCAACUGACGCUCAGACACGACAGCAUGGGGAGCGAACGGG